rfam:Gossypium arboreum cultivar AKA8401 contig_1593_11, whole genome shotgun sequence.
AUCUUGUGAUGAGGGCAUUUUCGUAAUAAUUUUUAAAUCUUUCUCAUGCCUCAUAUAAGGAUUCAUUAUCUAAUUGCUAAAAAGUUGUGAUCUCAUUCCUUAAUUU